rnacentral:rRNA from 1 species
UAUCCAGACUCCUACGGGAGGCAGCAGUGGGGAAUAUUGGGCAAUGGGCGCAAGCCUGACCCAGCAACGCCGCGUGAAGGAAGAAGGCUUUCGGGUUGUAAACUUCUUUUGUCAGGGAAGAGUAGAAGACGGUACCUGAAGAAGAAGCCCCGGCUAACUACGUGCCAGCAGCCGCGGUAAUACGUAGGGGGCAAGCGUUAUCCGGAUUUACUGGGGGUAAAGGGGGCGCAGACGGCGAUGCAAGCCAGGAGUGAAAGCCCGGGGCCCAACCCCGGGACUGCUCUUGGAACUGCGUGGCUGGAGUGCAGGAGGGGCAGGCGGAAUUCCUGGUGUAGCGGUGAAAUGCGUAGAUAUCAGGAGGAACACCGGUGGCGAAGGCGGCCUGCUGGACUGCAACUGACGUUGAGGCCCGAAAGCGUGGGGAGCAAACAGGAUUAGAUACCCUAGUAGG